rnacentral:rRNA from 1 species
CCCUUAGAUGUCCUGGGCCGCACGCGCGCUACACUGAACGGAUCAGCGCGUUUUCCCUUCCCGAGAGGGACGGGUAACCUGCUGAACCCCGUUCGUGGUAGGGAUCGGGGCUUGCAAUUAUUCCCCGUGAACCAGGAAUGCCCAGUAAGUGCAAGUCAUAAGCUUGCGUUGAUUACGUCCCUGCCCUUUGUACACACCGCCCGUCGCUACUACCGAUUGAACGUUUUAGUGAGGUACUAGGACUGAGCCUCAGAAGAUUCACGUCUUUUGUGCUGCUCGGGAAGAUUCCCAAACUUGAGCGUUUAGAGGAAGUAAAAGUCGUAACA